rnacentral:ncRNA from 2 species
UUAUCUCAUUUGGGGUGCCCAACCGUACGGGCUGAGAUCAUACCCAUUGGACCUGCCAGGUAAUUCUGGAAAGGAAAAUGAGCGCCUUCAACA